GAAUAUAAAUUAAAAUAAAAUUACAAUAAAUUGUUUGAAAAGGAAAUGUGAGCUAUGGUGGGAUAUAUUUUUAGGAUUAGGUUUUCAUAUUUAAAUAAGAUUUUAUAUAAUCUUUAAAAACAAAUUGUAUGCUAAGUAGUUCUUGUUACACCCUACCCCUCCGUAAAGUAUAACAUAAUCCCGUAAUAUACCUAAUAAAUU
rnacentral:misc_RNA from 1 species